AGCGAACGCUGGCGGCAGGCUUAACACAUGCAAGUCGAACGGGCGUAGCAAUACGUCAGUGGCAGACGGGUGAGUAACGCGUGGGAACGUACCUUUUGGUUCGGAACAACCCAGGGAAACUUGGGCUAAUACCGGAUAAGCCCUUACGGGGAAAGAUUUAUCGCCGAAAGAUCGGCCCGCGUCUGAUUAGCUAGUUGGUGUGGUAACGGCGCACCAAGGCGACGAUCAGUAGCUGGUCUGAGAGGAUGAUCAGCCACAUUGGGACUGAGACACGGCCCAAACUCCUACGGGAGGCAGCAGUGGGAAUAUUGGACAAUGGGCGCAAGCCUGAUCCAGCCAUGCCGCGUGAGUGAUGAAGGCCCUAGGGUUGUAAAGCUCUUUUGUGCGGGAAGAUAAUGACGGUACCGCAAAGAAUAAGCCCCGGCUAACUUCGUGCCAGCAGCCGCUGUAAG
rnacentral:rRNA from 1 species